AUGUGGCUACGGAUGUUGCAACCCCAGCCACUGUGCUGGAACGUCGGCGACGAUGUGACACAGAGAGAGAUGCUGGAUCCGACCAUGGUCAGAGCAGCAACUACUAGCUUUUUUGCAACCCAUGCGAGACCAGUGCUACAACCGCUAUUUUUUUUGCUAGCACCGGCGGUGAUUUUUGCUGGAACCAGCGAGGGAUUUUGCUGCAUCCUGCAUCUGUUUUUGCUGGAAACUAGCCUUCAUUUUUUUUUGCUACCAUCGGCUUUGUGUUUUUGCUGGAACCGGCAUAUUACUUUGCUGGAAGUAGCUUAUUAUUUUGCUACAAUCGACCCUGGAGUUUUUCCCUACUAA
rnacentral:rRNA from 1 species